CAGAGAUACAACCAUAGCUUGCAGUAGCAACGCAUUUGCCAACAAGCAGGUUUGUUGGGUUUUUGUCCCCUCCCUUCCCCCCCCCCUCCUCCCUCCCCCCUCCCCCUUUUUUUCUUUUAUUUUGGUUGGGAAGAAAAAAAAAAUAAAAAUGAGGCCUCUAAAGUUUUUGAUAAAGCUGCUUAGAAAAUGUCAAUAACUUUGGUCUACUGUCAGGUGUAAUCCAAUUCUUUCUGCAGUUUUUAUCUUUAUUUAUAGAGCUAGUGACGGUGAUUAUGCUGCUUUCAUGCUUACAAACUCACAGCUGAUCUAAUCAAACACUUGCAUCAUCUGUAACAAUGAUGCUCACCAAUAAACCUGCCCAUUGUGGUUCUGCAUUUUUAAGAUGUUUUUGUCUGUUUGUUUGUUUUUAUUUCAGGGGAUUAGAAAAGCUCUGGAAAACACAAGCACGUCUAGCAAAAUAUCCUGGUGAUCUUAUGUGUUCCAUCACAGUGGAUGUGAACAUGCUGGUUGUGAAAUCCCUGAUCAGGAGCUCCAAACAAAGCUGCCUUCUCCAGAACAGGAGCUGCACACUUCGCUGUCCCCCCAUCGCAAAAGCAUGCUUCAGAGUAUUUACGCAGAGAGUAGUACUGCUGCCAUCUGCUUGCUGAAGGAAGUAUCAGCACCGUCUUGUUAUGAACACAGUUCUGCUUGUGUCCCAAAUCACCUUUGUUUUCCCCAAGUCUAAAUAUUUAAUCAGAAUUUUUAUCUCACUUGCGCUGUGCAUCCACCAGACAACCCACCUACACUUUCUCUUUUCCCUUAGCUACAGCAACACAAAACAAGUAGCAUGAACACUAUAGUUUCCUAUUUCAUGAUGGGAUUAGAGCUACCUAAUAAGAUGCCAGCUCUGGCAGAAACAUCGCCUGCAGCUGUGGCAUUAAUAAUGCCUCUCUCUCGCAUGGAUUCCCUGACUUCUACUAGGACUGAGCUCUUGCUGCAAUAGGGACCUUCACUUGGCAGAAUGUUUUUGCAA
rnacentral:lncRNA from 1 species